AUUGCUGGCACAGCAAGGGACUCCAGAGGU
rnacentral:piRNA from 1 species